GCAAAUGUGGCUUAGCGGUAGAGCAUCUGCUUUGCUUGCAGAAAGUCUCAGGUUUAAUCCCCAGCAUCUCCA